rnacentral:rRNA from 1 species
GCAAGUCGAACGGUAGGAAUCCUUCGGGAUUCUGAGAGUGGCGAACGGGUAAGUAACACGUAGAUGAUCUACCUUUUAGUUGGGGAUAGCCCAUGGAAACAUGGAGUAAUACCGAAUAAUCUCUUUUGAUUUUGAUUGAUUGAGGAAAGCAGCGUUUGCUGUGCUGAAAGAUGAGUCUGCGCACUAUUAGCUAGUUGGUGGGGUAAGAGCCUACCAAGGCGACGAUAGUUAGCCGACCUGAGAGGGUGAUC